AAGUCAGACACUACUAGACUUAAUGUCAAGAGGAAACCUUUAUGCCCCUUUGAAUUCCACCAAUGGGAGAAAAGUGGGAUAGAAAUGAAUUAAUUAUUAUUAUUAUUAUUAUUAUUAUUAUUAUUAUUAUUAUUUCAUGUAUAAACCUUUGACUGUGUGGAUCAUAACAAAUUGUGGAAAGUUCUUGGUGGUAUGGGGCUACCAAGCCACCUUGUCUGUCUCCUGAGGAAUCGGUAUAAUGACCAAAUAGCAGUAGUAAGAACAGACCACAGAACAACAGACUGCUUCAAGAUUGGGGAAGGGGUACGGUAGGGUUGUAUACUUUCACCCUACUUAUUCAACUUGUACGCAGAACACAUCAUGCGACAUGCAGGGCUUGAUGAAUCCAAGGCUGGAGUUAAAAUUGCUGGAAGAAACAUUAACAACCUUAGAUAUGCAGAUGAUAUACUUUGAUGGCUGAAAGUGAGGAGGAGCUGAGGAGCCUCAUAACCAAGGUGAAAGAAGAAAGCUGGGUUGCAGUUAAACAUCAAGCAAACCAAGAUUAUGGCAACCAGACUGAUUGAUAACUGGCAAAUAGAGGGCGAAAACGUAGAGGCAGUGACAAACUUUGUAUUUCUAGGUACGACGAUUACUGCAGACACAGACUGCAGCAAGGAAAUCAGAAGAUGAUUACUUCUUGGGAGGAGAGCCAAGACCAAUCUCGAUAAAAUACUGAAGAGUUGCAACAUUCACACGUGCUUCAAAUAGACAUGGGUUCUUUCUCCCACCCUGGAAAUUCCUAAGAUAUGUAUAUGCACCUCACUUGCCUCACUAGCAACAGAACCUCUGAUGAUGCCAGCCACAAAACAUCAGGAGAGAAUGCUACUGGAACAUGGCCACACAACAACCCAGUGAUUCCAGCCAUGAAAGCCUUCGGCAACACAUAGUCUAUGCUGAUUGAGACGUUUGGGGAUUUGAAGUCCAAAAAGAGUAGUAUUUUCAAAUUCUGUAAGGAAACAUAUACAUUGGCUUCAUUGGCUGGAGGAUGAUGGGACCUGUAAUUCAACAAACCCAAACGUUUCCAGACUCUUUAGUUUCCCUAUAGGAAAGAGCAUGGGAUGAAAAUGAAGGAUUUUCCAAACCAAUAUAUCUUCUAUAAAAAGUUACUUCUUUUAAAGAGCAAAGGGAUUGACCCUUUAAAAGUGUCACAUUAAUUAUAGAGAAGCCAAGUGUUUUUCUACAAAUAUAUACUUAAAGCUGCUUGGAGACCACAGAAUCCCUAAUCAGUGUGAUUCAUUAAAACAUAACUUUUCCAAAUUUGGAUACAAGUCAUGGCUACAAUCUAGGAAGUAGCAUCUUACCGUGGAUUUCCAACAUAAUUGUAUUGAUCAUCUCUUUUGUCCAUGCCCAAUCUUGUUUGUUAUCUCCUACACAGACAUAUUAAACAUCUAUAGAACACUUGUCACAGAUUGCCAUAUUUACCUUUUGAUAGCUUGACCAGAAUCUAAUGUGUGUAGGAACAUAGAAGAAGGAAACAACUUCCAGUUGACUCAUCAGCGACAAGUGAUAGUCAAUGAUGAUAUAACUUAAGCAGACCACAUAUUAUUCAAGAAAAAUCCAGGAGGAGUACAAUGAAUAUAUUUGGUCGUUGGCAUCUCAGUCUCCCCCUCUGUUGUUUAAAAUUUUGCAAAUCUACCUUUAACAUGGAUGAACAUGAAGAAUUAAUGGAUCGAUUUCACCUUUCCCAGCUUGAUUCUGGCUCAAUAUUUUGGGCUAUGACGCUCAUUGCUGCUGGCCACUGGCCAUGCUUGCUGGUGGCUGUGAGACUUAUAAUCCAAGUUCUUUGGAGGGUACCAUUGUCUAAUUCAUCACAAUGCAGUUUUAAAUGUUUAUUCAAGCCAGAAGAAAAAGUUGGACCGCACCUAUUUUGAAUUAGUGUGAACAUUGGAAUGGUCCUCCCACUGCUAUUAUCUCUUCCAAUCAGGAAGAACCAUGGUGCCCAAACUAGCUUGAGCCUUCACUCUCCUCUCUCCCUUUCUAAUGUGCCCUGCAAAAUAAUAAAGGCAAGAGUCAGAAGACAAAUUGUGCCAGAUUCAAGUAGAAUUAGGAAUCAAUCUUCCUCUUUCUUUUUUCCACUAUAGGAAAAGAAAUGGAAGGCAUAGAGAGGCUGACAAUCAGAAGAAUGUGACACUAUGGCAUUGUAUUUGUUUUCUCCAAGCUUGUAUGGGCAAGAACACAAAGAGCCAAACUACAGAUUCCAUCUGCAGGAAAAGAGAUUCUACCUAAACACUAAGAAGAACUUCCUAAUGGUAAGAACUGUUUCGUGGUAGGAUAUUCUGCCUUGGAGUCCCCUUCUCUGGUGAGUUUUAAACAGAAACUGGAUGAUCACCUGUUGACUGUUCUUUGAUCACGUAUUCCAGCAUGGCAUGGGAUUAGGCUAUAUGUUCCUUGUGGUCUCUUCCAAAUUUGUGAUUCUAUGAUUCUGUAACAGUGAGCUGAAAGUUGCCUGUAGUGACUGAUGUUCAAAUGUCAGGAAAAACCUGUCAGGGAAAUAGCCUAUUGCUAUACUCUUCCAAGGAAUCUGAUGAUAAUGUGCCAUGAUAUCCUCUAGAGCAUGUGCAAAGAGAAUCUGCCUCAAGCUAAGUGUGUGUAGACAAUAUUUCCUUAACCCCCAAGGAGCUGAGACAAAAUAUGAUAUUAGCGAACAGAGCUUUUAGCUCUAUGGAUUGGUUUGUUUCAAUUAUCCCAGAUCCUUGGCAUAUCUUUUCUGGAAAUAAUCCAUUGCUCCACAUUGAAUUGGGUCUUUUAUCUCAAGCAUUUGCAAACAAAUGCAAAACAAGCAAGCAAACAAAAAAGAAAUGAAAGGAGGAUGUGGCCUUUCCAGCUCUUAGCAGCAAGGUGGUAUACGACUGUGAACAAUUCCUAAACUUUUUAUCCUAGGAGAACAGAAAAUCUGUGAGAACAGAUGGUGACUAGGAAUCCCAAGUAGGUCACUCUCUGCUGAGUUAAUGUUCGUGCUAACACAGUACUUUCCCAGCAAGCAUUUGCUCCGCUCUGUUUUCAGCUAACUGCCUUCAGUGUUUUUGAUAACUUUUGAUCUGAUGCCACUCUUAACUGCAUUCUAUUUGAUUUUGUAAUUACUUUCAGGCUGAAGCUCAUGGAGAUAUUGAAGAAAAUCUGGGUUGCAAAUAUUCCCUGUAAUAACGGGUAUGCUGGCGUCUCUCUUAUCUGAUUUUAGACUGUUAUUGCAGCUUGGGGUCUUUCCUCCUUCUGAGGAACACACCUGAUCUAAUUGAAAACAAUAAUGGGAAGUCAGUGACAGGAUUACAGCCUGUACAAUGCACUGUAAUGAACGAAGCAAUCUGCCCAAUAUCAAGUCAUGCUAUGGGACUUUUCAUAUUAUACAGUUACAGCACUGUAGAUUUUAUCACACAAAGUCGCUAUUCCAUGGCAGUCAUUCUAUCGUAACACAAGCACUCUGGUUAUCACACCUCUCUCCAUUAGCACAAUUGCACCAAUCUGUUGAUCCGUGACCCCAUACCUUCAUAACCCUGCCUUCAAACACUUUGGCUGUCAGUGUUUUUAAAAUUAAUAUUAAAAGGAAUUUCACAGCUGCAGCUAUGGUUAAUUUAAAAAGUAAAAUACUACCAAAAUAUUUUUUUUAAUUCCUGACUCAGAAAUAGUGAAGGGAAGUGGGAAAGUGAGAAAGGAAGGCAAUUGGUUUUGCCCAUCAAUAGUGAGGGAUGUGCUAAGCACGAGGAGGAGACAGAUGGGUAGUGGUGUGAGCAUGCCCUUGUGUGAUAGGGACAGUCUGGCUUCAAUACUAGUUUGCUUUCCUUAUGUGACAAAGUGCCAUGAUUUCACUUUAAUUGCCUUAGAUCAGUCCUGUGGAAAUCUUGAUCCAGUCCUGUAGAAUCAUGGAAAUUCUAGGGAAUGGUUUUGAGAAUUCUCUGUGAUCUAGCUUCUCAUCAGAUAACAAAUUUUAGCAUUCCAUGGCAAUUAGCAUAGAAUCAUAGAGCGAUAGCAUGGAAGGCACCACAUGUUCAUCUAUCCAGACUGACCUAUUCCAGGAAUGAGAAAUUGUCAAUCACCAGAUGAUUUUGGCCUACAGCUCCAGCAGCUGUAGUGAGCAUAGCCAAUAGUUUGAAUUUAUGAAAGUGCAAUCAAUCCAGAAAUAUUUGUAGGGUCACAGGUGCUUACCAUAUUGUCUUUGACAGCAGCUCUCCAGGAUCACAGGCACUGGUUCUUUUUGCCACCUGCUCACUGAUCCUCAACACUGAAAAUGCCAGGGAUUUAAUCUGUGGUUUACUGCCCUCAUGCACUCUACCAAUGGAUGAUGAAAUCAUACAUAUGUGUGUGUAUCAUGUACAUACACACACACACAUUAAGAUUAUAUAUAUGUAUAUACACAUGUGUGUGCACACAUACAUCUAUACAUAUAAUAAAAGUGAAAAUAUGUAUGUGUGUAUGUGGCGCGGGUGUCUAUUCACACAGACAGCCUCCAGUCUCCAAAAACAGGCUAUAGUUCCCAGUGCUGUGGAGCCACCAAGUCACUUCCUUCCAGGACAUUGUAGGGUACAGCGAGCACAUCCCAGUGUUCCUUUCUCCCUCCAUUUGCAUGACCCCACCCACUGCCUCUCUCUUAAUUCUUUCCUACCCUUUUUAUGGCACACAGCAAACAGAUAUAUUGAUCAGCAACUGAACAUACUGGAGAGAGAUGUUUGGGGAGAAUUCACCAUGAUAUAUAAGAGUUGUAGGGACUGGAAUGUAUAGUUCACCUGCUAUUUAACAACACUCUGAACCCCACCAAUGAUAGAUCUGGAACUCACUUGGCACACAGACACAACAUGGCCAAAACUGCAUACUGGCGGAGUUUGGGGGUGAUUGAUCUUGACAUCCAGGAGUUAUAGUUCAGCCAUAUUCAGAGAACACUGAACCCACCAAGUAACGGAUCUGGUCCAAACUUGGCACACAGACCCAACAUGGCCAACUGUGAAUACUGGCAGAAUUUGGGGGAGUGUUGACCCAAGAUUUUUGGGAAUUGUAGUUCACCCACAUCAUUAUGAAUUUUCUUAUGGGAGCAUUCAUAAAAAGAUUUUUUUCCUAAGACAUAGCACAACAGAUGACCAAACUGAUAUUACCUAACAUCCAAAAACAAACAAUGCCCUUUUCAAAUAACCCAGACAUCACCGGUACCUAAGCUAGUAUGUAUUUAUAUAUAUUCUUAAAAUGUCCCAUAAGCUCUGAUACCAGAACAGCAGGAACUGGUCUGAGACAUGAGUGUUUAUGCCUAAAUUUUAGGCUUUAAUUUUGUCCAAACUAUUAACUAUAUGGCGAGUAUUCCAAGAGAAAAAAUUAGUAAAGCAAAUCUUGGGAAUAUUACUUUUUUGGACUAUAGCUCCCAGAAUCCUGCAGUGAGUGAAAUAAGCAAAGGCAUGAGAGAAAAUAAGUGCGCUAUAAAGGGAAUAAAGGGAGUGAGUUAAUAGGAAAAAACAAUUACACAAGUAAAACUAGUCCAUUACUGAAUGGGUUUCAUGGUGGGUAAAUUAUGCCUAUUACUCAAGAAAAUAAAGAAUACACAUCACAUCAGGAUGUCUGUCCUAUGCGCACCAGGAUGCUUGCCAUAAAAUUUUAUGUACGUUGCUCCCAAAGAGAACCCAGCAAGAAGUUUCUUCAUCACAGCAGUGCCAAAACAAAGAUGUCGGAUAUGUAAAAGAAAAGAAUGAAAAUCAAAAGAGAGAAAUAGAGACGUAAAACAUUAUGGGAGCAAUAAAAUGAAGCAAAACCAAGCAUGACUAUAAAGGAGUGGCUCAUUAAAGGGCGUCCUUUGCAACAGAAGUCAAAAGCUUGGGAUCAGUCACCAAGAGAGUUGUCUACUAGGUUUUGCCCAACAGGACAGAAAGAAAUAUCUAUCCCAAAGACUUUUCAAAAGUUUUUAAAGAAGAAUAUAGACAUUUAAGGACUUCAUCACAUGGGGGACAGUAGGGAUCAACAUGGGAAACCAUGGGGUAGCCUUACCGUGUCCCCUUACCGUUGUGGGUCAUGGACUGCCACCAGACAAUGUUUCUGUGCUGUCCCUGGCUUCAUUGAGUGCUGCCUCGGCUUCUUCGAUGAGGAGAUGGUUGGUUAGUCACCCAACUUCUCAGGGCUCCCUCUUAGAAUGCUGCUUGCAUAGAACUCAUUGGAGCCCCACCAGAAGUCGCCCUGCAUCAUUUGAUAGGGCUCCAGUGGACUCCAUCCUGGCAGUGUACUGGCAGCAUGCUGAAAUGGGGAAACCACUCAUCUGAUGAGGCCAUAAGUAAUGUUUUCUCUAGUUUCCUAAAUUAUGUUGGUCUUUUUUGGGGCACAGCUAGUACUUUGAAUUAUGACUGAAAUAGACUGGAAAUGGCCAUUAUAGCUUUCAAGCAGACUUGCCGACCACACAACAGGAGGUGUCUACAGACAACACAGGCUCCUCACCUUGGAAACGUAAAAGAGCACCUCCCCCAGAGCCAGAGAUGAGCACGACCUCCAGAGCCAGCAAUGAAAGAAGAAGCCUUUUCCUUUUCCUGUGUAUUUGUGUCUCAUUGUAUAUUAUUGUAAUAAGGCAUUGAAUGUUUACCUGUGUCUGUUUAUAUGCUGUAAUCUGUUCUGAGUUCAUGCAGGGAGAAGGGUGGAAUAUAGUUGUUGUUGUUGUUGUUGUUGUUGUUGUUGUUAUUAUUUAAGCAUGAUGAUAUUCCCUAUAACUGGACCCCAUCAAUAUCUAACUGGUCCUGAAAAAGAGUUUUAUGAGUACUCCUAAAAAAACCCAACAAAUCAAUAUGUCCUGAAACAAAGUCUGAACUUUCUCUAGAAGCCAAGAUGACUAAACUGGAGCUGCUGUACUUUGGACAUAUAUCAGAAGACAUGUCUUACUAGAAAAGACAAUAAUGUUUGAUUAGGUAGAAGGGAGUAGGAAAAGAGAAUGAUUGAAUUCCAGAUUGACUUAAUCAAGGAAGCCACAGUUCCAAGUUACAAAACCUGAGCAGGGCUGUUGAUGAAAAGAGGUCUCAUUCAUGAGUUUGCUAUAAGCCAAAGUCAACUUGACAGCAGUUAACAAUGACAACUGGUUGCCGUAUUCUGAAUUUUUUUCUAGUUUCUGAACAUUUUUACAAGGUUGCCUAUAUAUCUUUACUGCAAUAGUCCAAACAAGAUAUAAGGAAGUGAUUCUCUACCUGUGGGUCCCCAGGUGUUUUGGCCUACAACUUCCAGAAAUCCCAGCCAGUUUAUCAGCUGUUGGGAUUUCUGGGAGAUGAAGACCAAAACAUCUGGGGACCCACAAGUCGAGAACCAAUGAUAUAAGGUAUGAUUUACUACUGAAGAAGGGGAGGUUAAAAAACAAAGUUCGAAUGGAGAAUGGAUAGGAAAGCGGAAAAAUGUGAGGGAUAAGGCAGUGGCAGAAGGCAAGUUCCUACCCUCCCAGGCACCACUAAAAAACCGUUCAUGUCCCUAGUUAUAGCAAGCAUUUCAUUUGAUUUUCUGAUGCCUUGAAUCUCCCCACUCAGAGCUGCACUGUGAGCCCAAAUUGUGAUCUAACAAAAAUAUCUUCCUCCUGCCCAUUUUUAAAUUUAUAUACUUUUAUUAAGCCUCUCCAUUUAACACCUAACCUGCCACUUGGUCUGACACUGCAGGCAGGGAUCAUGUAUUGUACUGCCAGUUCUGUCCCCUGAUAUAUUUUUCAUCAUAUGAAGUCCUAGGGUUAUCAUUGGUUCCUAUGGGGAAAUGUGAAAUGAAAUAUCUUCUUCAAAGCAGCAAAGCCUAUAGGGGACAGCUUGGCCUCUGUUGGCGAGGAACCCCAGGGAAGCCGGAGUCUCUGCUGUAUAAGUGACCUUGCUCUGCCCCUUUUCUGUCAAAAUGAAAGCUCUUUUGCUUGUUGCUAUUUUUAAAAUCAGGUUUUCACUUUCUUGUAACGGCAGCAGUCAUUUCAUUUUUUUCAAAAUAUUGAUGCAGCCUCCAGUUUCCUACAGCUGUGAACAUAGUUUCGGCAGCUGUUGAAUCCAGACAGUAUCAAUAUUUUGUCAAGAUUCAGCUUUCUCAUAAUAGCAGCAGUCAUUUAGAGCAGGCCUUCUUUCAGGAGAUAUUUCAAACAACAAGUCAAAAGCUCGCUCCUAAUACGAUGAGUAAUCACAGUGCGAUUUUGCAAAUCUGACAAUUGCUAUUCAGGCUUCUCCUCCUCUUCCUUUUUGCUUUGCAAAUACCUUGUCAGCGACAUGAUCUUUUUCCUCAAAAAGUUAAUAAAGUGUGACUAGAAAUGAUCCAGAGUCUUUGAGAUAUUCUUUUGCCUUAUAGGCCAGGCAAAUGAGGCCCCUCUGGUAGAAUACAUAAUUUACAAACAAAAGGUUCUAGUUUGUGAUGUCUGUUAUCUAGAGUUCUAGCUCUUCUUCUCCUUCUCCUUUGUCUUCUUUGUCUUCCUCUUCUCCUCUUCCAUUUUGCUCUCCCACAUUUCACAUAUAAAAAUUGGGACACUUGUGGUCAAGCAACAUCAGAGAGUAGUCAAGAUGGAAAAAACUAUUCAUGAGGUGGAAAUGACAAACUAUGAGAGGCUGUAGGUAAAGAUAAAGGUCUUUCCCUGACAUUAAGUCUAGUCGUGUGGGACUCUGGGGGUUGGUGCUCAUCUCCAUUUCUAAGCCGAAGAGCCGGCAUUGUCCAUAGACACCUGCAAAGUCAUGUGGCUGGUAUGACUGAGUUCUAAUAAAUUGUUGAAUCUGCAAAUGGAGGACUGACUGAUACUUCUAGUAAGUAAAUUUCUGUGCUGGACUGGGAAGAAAUCUCUAAAUGGAAGUUCUAUUGAUUAAUAUGAGAGAUAUUAAGUGAGAUAGCUGUUGCAGCUUUUUUUAAAAAAAUGUUUUUGUCAAAAAAAUUUAAAAUUCCCUAAAAUCAGUAGAUGUGUGAAUAUUUCUGAAGGUUGGGGGGGAUGAUCCCCUGUUAUCCUGUGUCAUGCUAUAGAAAAUUCAAGGAGAUAGCUCUUGUAGUUUUUAUUUUAAUAAAUGUUUUUAUAAAAACUUUGAAAAUUCCCCAAAUAUCAGUGGAUGAGUGAAACAUUCUGAAACAUGAUGGGCUAACAGUGGCAAAUGUGUUCUACCAUUGUAGCAAGUUUCACCCCAAUCGCUGUUCAAAUGAAGGAGAAAAGAGCCCCUGAAGUUUCCCUACUUGUGCAAUGACUAAAACGUAAAAGUAAUGAAAUUUCAUUACUCUUAUUAUAGUAAUAAAAAAUCACUAACAAUACUUUAGAAUCAUUUUAGAAAUGAAACACUGGCACCCUCUAAUUUUGUAAUGAUUGUAAUUGAUCGCAAAGUUCUAAUAGAUAAUAUAGCAAAAAUACACAGGAAGAUUAUUGUUGAAAUAUAACUAAAAUAUGUAUAUCACUUCAAAAUGUAAAACAUCUACAAAAGUUUAAUAUAGUUGUAGGUAGAAACAAUUUUGGACCAAGCAAUGCUGGAAUUAUAUAAUAUAGAUAUAAAUUAAAGAGAGAUGGUGCCAACAAGCAUCAUUGUUUUACUUUUUUAUUUAUGGAGAUAAGAUCUGUUGAUGAGAGGGAAAUGCCAACUCUUGUUUCUCGCACUUAGAAAACAGUUCCUUGAUUAGAAACAAUAGGCAAUUAUCUAUGCUUGUGUUCGUCAGUUUAUGCCAUAACAGGUUUCUGUCAAUCUAGUCAAAAGCUACAGCUAUAUCAACAAAAGACAGCAUUUCCUUGUUGAGUUAAAAAAAAUAAUCAAACAAAUGUCAGUUCUGUUCUGCCCUUUCCUAAUACCAGCCUGUUCAGACUGUUUGCAGCUUCCCAAUUUUUCAAUUUUCAAACAGAUAUUUACUAUAUAAUUGAGAGUCAAUGUGUAAAAGACUAAUAUGUUGAUAAUUAUUGGUUUGUAAAUAAUCAUCCUUCUUGUGAAUAAGAACAACUACACUAUUUCCAGCCCACUGGCAUUAUACCUGUAUUGUUGAUUUGGGUAAAUGUCUGACUAAUAUAAGAUCUCACAACUUAGGAAAGUAUUUGAAUAUUUCUGGAGGGCUCAUAUUUUCUCCUGGGGCUUUGUUCAGAGUAAAAACUGCAAUCACAUUCUUUUUUGACACAAACACAGGAGGCCAAUAGGGCAAACAAGUAGAAAGAUAGUUCCCUGAAGAUACUGCUACACAAAAUCUGCGAAAAUGAAUAUUCUAUUGGUGUGAUAAAAUUUGCCCAACAAGUACUGGUAUGUCUGAGAGCAUAAUAAUAGAAAUGUUAUCCCAAAUCCGCUUCUCAUUCUUUUUCAUCACAAUGAGGAUCUCAGUUGGAUGAAAAGGGUCUAUUAUUUUAUAUGCUGAUGAUAUGCUAUUAAUUUCACUUACCUGUCUGGGUUUGAGAAGGCUUCUCUCUAAUCUGAAUGUAUUUUGUUCAAAAGAAAAGCUGAACCUGAACCAUACCCAAACAAAGGUGAUGGUGUUUGGAAAGAGACACUCAUUUUCAGUGGUUCAUAAAAAAUAAUUAGAUUGAACAAAGCUAGGGGUUCAUGUACCUGAAUUGAAGUCAUUACCCACAUUCUGUAUAGUUCUGCUAUCUGAGAAUCAGGAAUGACUCUCGGGUGGCUAAACUGUAUAUAGUUCUGAAUAAUUUUUCAAUGCUUGCACCUGGAAUUCCUGCAGCUUUGGUUCAAGCAGAUGUCAGUUUUCUUUCUAUUAGAUUUCAUAUGCAUUUAAUGUUACUUAACUAUUGAAGAUUCUACAGUUAGGGUUUUCUCCAAGUCAUGUUUUGAGCAACUUUCAAAAUGCAAUGGUUGGAAUUCAAGACAUCAAACAUUCCUUCAAUUGCAUCCUCCUCCACUUGGUCAUUUUUCUGUCUUCAAUUCAAUUCAGUUCUUCUCCUCAGUCAAGACAUAGUAUUAUUACUCAGUUUUGAAUUUUGUCCUGACUAUGGCACACAAUUGGCUAGGCAGACUACUAACAACUAUGUAACACAAUUUUUGUUCUUGGGUUAUAAAUGCCAUUUCCUAAUUAGUUCUAUCAUAAAAACAUGGAAAAUGCAGCCCAGUUUGAAAUAGCUUUUCAAUGAAUAUCUCAUAGAGUCUCAACCAAUUCAACACUGUUUGAAAGUACAGUAGAGUCUCACUUAUCCAACAUAAACGGGCCGGCAGAACGUUGGAUAAGCGAAUAUGUUGGAUAAUAAGGAGAGAUUAAGAAAAAGCCUAUUAAACAUCAAAAUAGGUUAUGAUUUUACAAAUUAAGCACCAAAACAUCAUGUCAUACAACAAAUUUGACAGAAAAAGUAGUUCAAUAAGCAGUAAUGUUAUGUUGUAAUUACUGUAUUUACAAAAUUAGCACCAAAAUAUCAUGUAAUAUUGAAAACAUUGACUACAAAAAUGCAUUGGAUAAUCCAGAACGUUGGAUAAGCGAGUGUUGGAUAAGUGAGACUCUACUGUAGUUGUUAUAUUCCAGAAAAUGAAGUUUCUGGAGUAUAACAACUACUUUCAAAGUAAGUACCACAUGAUUAAACAGGAAGUAACACUUUCAAAUCAGGAACAGAUUUUUUUUUUUUACAUAGUGAAUUGCUGAAAAUGGUAUAGAUACUAUGGUUCUGACCAUCGACAUUUACCUGUCAAAGCUCACAUUUGCAAAAUUUAGCUAAGUUUGUACAGCUCUACAUUUUUAAAGUAUCAAAUAUUCUCAUACUGUUUCGACCUCCAUUUCUGCAUUGGUUGGGGCCGGGCUGUGGCGCAGGCUGUUGAGCAGCUGCAAUAAAUCACUCUGACCAUGAGGUAAUGACCCUGUUUCCCUGAAAAUAAGACAUCCCCAAAAAAUAAGACCUAGCAGAGGUUUUGCUGAAUUGCUAAAUAUAAGGCCUCCCCCAAAAGUAAGACCUAGCAAAGUUUUUGUUUGGAAGCAUGCCCGGUGCCCGCCAAACAAAACACCAGAACUUGCAGGAUCGGUAAAUGUACAUACCAGUUGUACAUGGAAAUAAUGGUAAUAAUAUAUUAAAAUGUUAUAUUAUUUAUAUUUAUACAGUAGUAACAAGAAAUUCUUGACAGGAGUCAUAGUUUGUCUAGUUUGGUUAUGUUGGUUUGUGAUGACAACUACGAAAUAUAAAUAUUGUAAAUAAUAAUAAAUAAUAAACUGCGGAUUUUCCACA